GACAGAGGUGCCGAGCGUUAGGCGGAAUCACUGGGCUUAAAGCGUGUGUAGGCGGAUCGUUAAGUGCCUUGUGAAAUCCCACGGCUUAACCGUGGAACUGCUUGGCAUACUGGCGGUCUUGAGCAACCUAGGGGCAAGCGGAACAAAUGGUGGAGCGGUGAAAUGCGCAGAUAUCAGGAGGAACACCGGUGGCGAAGGCGGGUCUCUGGGCCGAUACUGACGCUGAGGAGCGAAAGCGUGGGGAGCGAACAGG
rnacentral:rRNA from 1 species